GCAAGUUCAGCUCGUCUGACGUAGGUAUUUCUAGUUUCCAGUCGCGCUGUGAAGUCCCUACUGAGAGGAUGAAUUUGAUACCGAUAAGAUGCGCCGCUUUAGUUCUAGUUCUUAUAUAUUAUGGAUGGUGCGAUCAGGUAGAAGCAGAAACUAAUUACGAUCUAGAAACAAAAUCGGGAUCGCUGCAAAGCAAUUCCAGCAAACAUGCGUUGUGUUCAGGUUUCAAAAGAUCUCGCAAAGGAGUUUACGUGUACGAUGCAGAUGCUAACGAGUGGACAGUUGAUGUGGCAAUAGUUCCAUAUCGACAGCAGUAUUGUUCACGUGCCGAUCCUCAUCAACAAAAACCUAACCAGUCGCAGAGAAAAACUAUACGUAUUUACGAUACAGACACUCAGCGUUGGACGGAUAGUGUGAUCACAGAACUGUCACCUACUCCGGUUUAGUGAAAUUCACCGUUUAUCUGUGUUUUGUAAAAGUUUUUAUCGAAUAACUUCAGACAGAAAGCAAUCUACUGAUCCUGAGCAACCCAAUUGAUCACUUGAAAAGUUAUGGUAUGCCGUCACUUACUUCGACUUUUCGCAUUCCGGCAUCUGAAACGACAACGGUGAAGGUUGAUAAUCUAGGACAUUAAGGAACACGGAAUCUUUGCAAUCCUCAAUAGCUGCGAUAACCGCUUAGUUAGUCAAUAAGUAAACAAUUAAGCUAGUUGUAAGAUAAAUUUUAUUUCUUGACUAGUAGGCUCAAAUGCCUACGAGUGAUAGCAACAGUGUCGAGUCGUCACCAUUUGUGAUUGGCUGGACGAAAUAUUUUAUUAACAAAUGAAUAAUUUACCCCUGUUUACACUACGUGCGUCUAUAAAUUUUAAACUGAAUUCCAAUUAGAUAACCUUUACUCACUCAUGAUUUCGAGCUGACAAAGUUGGGAGUUUCCAGUCGCGCUGUGAAUUCCCUACUGAGAGGAUGUAUUUGGUACCGAUAAGAUUCGCCGCUUUAAUUCUAGUUCUAACAUAUUGCGUAUGGUGUGAUAAUGUAGAAGGAGAAAAUCAUAACUAUCUAGAAACAACAUCGGGGUUGCUUCAAACCAACUCCAGCAAACAUGAGUCGGUUCCAUGUUUUAAAGGAUCUCCCAAAGGAAUUUUGGUGUACGAUGCAGAUGCUAACGACUGGAUAGUUAAUGUAGUGAUAGUUCGAAAUCGACAGCAGAAUUGUUUACGUGCAAAUCCUCAUGAACAAAAACCGAACAUGUCGCAGGAAAAACCUUUUCGUAUUUACGAUACAGACACUCAGCGUUGGACGGAUAGCGGGAUUUAAGAACAACCACCUAUCUCGGUUUUGAGGAACCCAUCUGAAGUCAUUAUUGGUCCAUUUACUAAUCCCAAUAGCAACCCAAGAGACCGCAUAAAAAGUUUUGCUAGUCCGUUACCUACUUCGACUCUUCGCUACACGGCCUCGUCCGAAACAACAACAGUAAAGGUUCGUGGUAGAGGAUUUCAAGAAACACAGAAUAUGGGCUCUGGUCGUAAAACGAUUCCAUUGCUAGUCUAUAAUAGUGACACCAAAAAAUGGAUAACUAUUGCCGCCACAUCCAAUUUUUGAUGUGCUUUAUUCAACAUAACAAUUAAAAGAAGAAUUUAAAAUGGAUUCAUGAAAACAUUGUAAGUAACCCGAAAUUUUAGAGAAUUGAUACUAUAAUUUUACCAAAUAAAUGUGUUUUAUCUUUAAAAAUCAGCAAAA